CCCGUCGCGUUUAUCGAGGAGACUCCAGGACACCUAGGAUCAAUAAGAAUAUUAUUUCAAGGGUGAAAACUGAGGUUUAGAGAGGGUAAAUAACUUGCCCAAAAUCUGGAAAAGUUUGCCAACCCCUGGUCUUACUCCUCAUUAAGGUUUCCCUUCCUCUCCACCAUUCCCAAAUCUGAGUAUUCCAGAAGAGCUACUGUUUUUUUAAUGAUAUGGUAAAUUAAUUUCUAAAGGGAUUAAAAUGAAUACCUACCUGUUGUAAUGAAAAUAAAUGUAUAACAUAAAGCAAUCUGCAAAAUGAGAGCAUUGGGAUCAGUCAUGGAGCCCUGCCAGGGAUGAUGGGGAUUGAGAGCAGCCAAAUACCCUACAGGAGCCCAUGCAGCAGCCCACAGCUCUGCAGAGAGAAACUAAACUGCUAAAGAAGAGGCAGUAAGAUAGGAGAAGAGAAAUGAAAGGCAGUGGAAUUGAAAUGAAUCAGUGGGCCGCCCAGGGCCCCAGGAUCUGGGCUAUAAAGGUUCCUACUUGGACCCUGACUGUUUUGCAGGCCUAAGACUUAUGCAGAGGUGGCGCCCGCCCGUAAUCCCAG
rnacentral:lncRNA from 10 species